rnacentral:pre_miRNA from 1 species
AAUUUCAUCUGAAAAAGUCAUCAAUAAGAAAGUUGUAUAACUCAUCAAGAUCUAUAACUUUUAUUUUGGUCAUUUCUUCAUCCGAUGAAGUGAUUUGUAAAAUUGUUCAUAAAAUGUAUAUCUCUUAUAUAGUUUUGAUAAAGUGAUUUGUAAGAUUGUUUACAAAAUGUACUUCUCUUAUAUAGGCUAUAUAAGAGAUGUACGCCUAUAUAAGAGAUGUACAUUUUGUGAACAAUCUUACAAAUUACUUUAUCGUAUGAAGAAAUGACUAAAAUAGAAGUUAUAGAUCUUGAUGAGUUAUACAACUUUCUUAUUGAUGACUUUUUCAGUUGAAAUC